rnacentral:rRNA from 1 species
AUUGAACGCUGGCGGCAGGCCUAACACAUGCAAGUCGAACGAGUGGCGGACGGGUGAGUAAUGUCUGGGAAACUGCCUGAUGGAGGGGGAUAACUACUGGAAACGGUAGCUAAUACCGCAUACCAUCGGAUGUGCCCAGAUGGGAUUAGCUAGUAGGUGGGGUAAAGGGUCACCUAGGCGACGUUCCCUAGCUGGGCUGAGAGGAUGACAAGCCACAGUGGAACUUAGACACUGUCCAGCCUCCUACGGGAGGCAGCAGUGGGGAAUAUUGCACAAUGGGCGCAAGCCUGAUGCAGCCAUGCCGCGUGUAUGAAGACGGCCUUCGGGUUGUAAAGUACGUUCAGCGGGGAGGCGUUACCCGCAGAAGAAGCACCGGCUAACUCCGUGCCAGCCGCCGCGGUAAUUC